ensembl:lncRNA
GAACUGAGGUGUUAAGGCUGAGGUGGAAGAGCUAAAGUAGAGAGGGUGGCGUAUGAGGCUAAGGGGUGAAUUAGAGGUGUGAGGGCUGAAGUAUGAGGUUGAGGUUGAACACUAAGGUGGGAAGGCUUAAAUGGUAAAGCUGAAGUGUGAAGGGUAAGAUGUAAGACAGAGGUGUAAAGACUAAAGUGAGGAAGAUGAUGUGUGAGGGCUGAGGUGUGAGGCUGAGGUAUGACGGAUGAGGUGGGAAGGGUGAGGUAGGAAAGUUAAGUGUGAGGGCUAAAGCUGGAAGGCUGAGCUGUGAGGGUUGAUGUAUGACACUGUGCUGGGAAAGCAAAGGUGUGGGGCUGAGGUGGACAUGCUGAUGUAGGAAAGGUAAGGUAGGAAGGUGGAGGUGUAAGACUGAGGUGGGAAGGCUGAGGAGGAAGGCUGAGGUACGAGUGCUGAGGUAGAAGGUUGGGGUGUGAAGGAUGAAGUGGAAAGGAUGAGGUGUGAGGGCUGAGGUGUAGGACUGAGGUAGGAAGACUAAGGUAUUAAGCUGAGAUGGGAAACGCUGAGGUAUGAGAACUAAGGGGAAAGUGCUGAAGUGGGAAGACUGAGGUGUGAGGGCUGUGGUAGAAAGGCUGAGGUGGGAAGACUGAGGUGUGAGGCUGAGAUUGAUAGCUUGAGGUAAAGGGGCUGAAGUGUGAGAGAUGAGAUAGAAAGGCUAAGGUGUGGAGCUAAAGUGUGAGGCAGAGCUGGAAAGGGAGGUGUGAGGGCUAUGGUGUGAGAGCUAAAGUGGGAAAAGUGAGGUGGGAAGGCUGUGUUAUGCAGCUGAGGUGAGAAAGCUAUAGUGUGAGGCUGAGGUGUGAGGCUGAGGUGUGAGGCUGAGGUGCGAGGCUGAGGAGUGAGGCUGAGGUGUGAGGCUGAGGUGUGAGGCUGAGGUGUGAGGCUGUGUGAGGCUGAGGUGUGAGGCUGAGGUGUGAGGCUGAGGUGUGAGCCUGAGGUGGAAAGGCUGAGGUGGAAAGGCUGAGGUGUGA